GCCGCCAAGAGCAUCCUAACUUUGCAGAACCCUGUGCUACCUAUGGACUCUGAGAUGGGCUUCCUGUAAAGAAACCCCUGACGCAUUAACGGACAAAACAUGAGUCAAUUUGUGCUGUGGCAUUCAAAUCCCAGCAUUUUGGAAGAGGUUCUUCCGAGGCAAGGCGUGCUUUGUUUGUGUGAUGACGUGUGACUGUUUCCCUGCCGAGGAGGUCAGUAAUGAAAGAGAAGAAGCCAGGCGCACUGUGGAAAGGUUACUUGCCCACCGUCCUUUUUGGGAGAGCCUCCUCCCAUGCUUCUCAGUUUGGUAGAAAUAGCCAGUGGUUAUUAUGUUAAAAUAAAGGCUCAAAUACUCAUCUAAACCCUGUGGCAUCCAAGCUUGUCUGC